GCCAUUUCUGGGAUAGCUUAGUUGGUAGAGCAUGAGCCUCUUGAUCUCAAGGUUGUGGGUUCGAGCCCCACGUUGGGCA